UUGAAGAGUUUGAUCAUGGCUCAGAUUGAACGCUGGCGGCAGGCCUAACACAUGCAAGUCGAGCGGUAGCACAGGAGAGCUUGCUCUCUGGGUGACGAGCGGCGGACGGGUGAGUAAUGUCUGGGAAACUGCCUGAUGGAGGGGGAUAACUACUGGAAACGGUAGCUAAUACCGCAUAACCUCGCAAGAGCAAAGAGGGGGACCUUCGGGCCUCUCGCCAUCAGAUGUGCCCAGAUGGGAUUAGCUAGUAGGUGAGGUAAUGGCUCACCUAGGCGACGAUCCCUAGCUGGUCUGAGAGGAUGACCAGCCACACUGGAACUGAGACACGGUCCAGACUCCUACGGGAGGCAGCAGUGGGGAAUAUUGCACAAUGGGCGCAAGCCUGAUGCAGCCAUGCCGCGUGUGUGAAGAAGGCCUUCGGGUUGUAAAGCACUUUCAGCGGGGAGGAAGGCGAUAAGGUUAAUAACCUUGUCGAUUGACGUUACCCGCAGAAGAAGCACCGGCUAACUCCGUGCCAGCAGCCGCGGUAAUACGGAGGGUGCAAGCGUUAAUCGGAAUGACUGGGCGUAAAGCGCACGCAGGCGGUCUGUUAAGUUGGAUGUGAAAUCCCCGGGCUUAACCUGGGAACUGCAUUCAAAACUGACAGGCUAGAGUCUUGUAGAGGGGGGUAGAAUUCCAGGUGUAGCGGUGAAAUGCGUAGAGAUCUGGAGGAAUACCGGUGGCGAAGGCGGCCCCCUGGACAAAGACUGACGCUCAGGUGCGAAAGCGUGGGGAGCAAACAGGAUUAGAUACCCUGGUAGUCCACGCUGUAAACGAUGUCGACUUGGAGGUUGUGCCCUUGAGGCGUGGCUUCCGGAGCUAACGCGUUAAGUCGACCGCCUGGGGAGUACGGCCGCAAGGUUAAAACUCAAAUGAAUUGACGGGGGCCCGCACAAGCGGUGGAGCAUGUGGUUUAAUUCGAUGCAACGCGAAGAACCUUACCUACUCUUGACAUCCAGAGAAUUUGCUAGAGAUAGCUUAGUGCCUUCGGGAACUCUGAGACAGGUGCUGCAUGGCUGUCGUCAGCUCGUGUUGUGAAAUGUUGGGUUAAGUCCCGCAACGAGCGCAACCCUUAUCCUUUGUUGCCAGCGAUUCGGUCGGGAACUCAAAGGAGACUGCCGGUGAUAAACCGGAGGAAGGUGGGGAUGACGUCAAGUCAUCAUGGCCCUUACGAGUAGGGCUACACACGUGCUACAAUGGCGUAUACAAAGAGAAGCGACCUCGCGAGAGUAAGCGGACCUCAUAAAGUACGUCGUAGUCCGGAUUGGAGUCUGCAACUCGACUCCAUGAAGUCGGAAUCGCUAGUAAUCGUAGAUCAGAAUGCUACGGUGAAUACGUUCCCGGGCCUUGUACACACCGCCCGUCACACCAUGGGAGUGGGUUGCAAAAGAAGUAGGUAGCUUAACCUUCGGGAGGGCGCUUACCACUUUGUGAUUCAUGACUGGGGUGAAGUCGUAACAAGGUAACCGUAGGGGAACCUGCGGUUGGAUCACCUCCUU
rnacentral:rRNA from 1 species